rnacentral:rRNA from 1 species
AUACGUAGGGUGCAAGCGUUAAUCGGAAUUACUGGGCGUAAAGCGUGCGCAGGCGGCUUUGUAAGACCGAGGUGAAAUCCCCGGGCUCAACCUGGGAAAUGCCUUUGUGACUUCCAGGCUAGAGUACGGCAGAGGGGGAUGGAAUUUCGGGUGUAGCAGUGAAAUGCGUAGAUAUGCGGAGGAACCCCGAUGGCGAAGGCAAUCCACGGGUACUGUUCGAACUCUCCUGCACUAUAGCGUGGGGAGGAAACAGGAUUUGAGACCCUGGUACUCGACUCCCUAGACGAUUUCAACUGGUGGUUGAGUUUUCAUUGACUCAGCAACGAAGCUACAGUGUGAAGUUAACCGCCUGGGGAGUACGGUCGCAAGGUUGAAACUCAAAUGAAUUGACGGGG